UACGGAGGGUGCAAGCGUUAAUCGGAAUUACUGGGCGUAAAGCGUGCGCAGGCGGUUCGCUAAGACCGAUGUGAAAUCCCCGGGCUUAACCUGGGAACUGCAUUGGUGACUGGCGAGCUAGAGUGUGGCAGAGGGGGGGUAGAAUUCCACGUGUAGCAGUGAAAUGCGUAGAGAUGUGGAGGAAUACCGAUGGCGAAGGCAGCCCCCCUGGGCUAACACUGACGCUCAUGCACGAAAGCGUGGGGA
rnacentral:rRNA from 1 species